rnacentral:rRNA from 1 species
CUCGUGUCGUGAGAUGUUGGGUUAAGUCCCGCAACGAGCGCAACCCCUGCAUUCAGUUGCCAACGGUAAGGCCGGGCACUCUGGAUGGACUGCCGGCGACAAGCCGGAGGAAGGUGGGGGAUGACGUCAAGUCAUCAUGGCCCUUAUGUCCAGGGCGACACACGUGCUACAAUGGCCGGCACAGCGGGAAGCGAGGGGGCGACCUUGAGCGGAUCCCUCAAAGCCGGUCUCAGUUCGGAUUGCAGUCUGCAACUCGACUGCAUGAAGUUGGAAUCGCUAGUAAUCGUGGAUCAGCCAAGCCGCGGUGAAUACGUUCCCGGGCCUU